AGCUUGUUGGUGAGGUAACGGCCCACCAAGGCAACGACGGGUAGCUGGAUCGAGAGGUUGACCAGCCACACUGGGACUGAGACACGGCCCAGACUCCUACGGGAGGCAGCAGUAAGGAAUUUUCCACAAUGGGCGAAAGCCUGAUGGAGCAAUACCGCGUGAAGGAUGACGGUCUUCGGAUUGUAAACUUCUUUUAUAUGUGAAGAUUAUGACGGUAACAUAUGAAUAAGCAUCGGCUAACUACGUGCCAGCAGCCGCGGUAAUACGUAGGAUGCAAGCGUUAUCCGGAAUUAUUGGGCGUAAAGAGUGUGUAGGUGGUUUGUUAAGUUAAAUGUUAAAUCCCAGGGCUCAACUCAGGGGCUGCAUUUAAUACUGGCAAACUUGAGGUUGUGAGAGGUAAGCGGAAUUAGCGGUGUAGCAGUGAAAUGCGUAGAUAUCGCUAGGAACACCAAUGGCGAAGGCAGCUUACUGGCACAAUCCUGACACUGAGACACGAAAGCGUGGGGAGCGAACGGGAUUAGAUACCCCGGUAGUCCACGCCGUAAACGAUG
rnacentral:rRNA from 1 species